rnacentral:rRNA from 1 species
GACGAACGCUGGCGGCGUGCUUAACACAUGCAAGUCGAACGGAAAGGCCCUGCUUUUGUGGGGUGCUCGAGUGGCGAACGGGUGAGUAACACGUGAGUAACCUGCCCUUGACUUUGGGAUAACUUCAGGAAACUGGGGCUAAUACCGCAUAGGAGCUCCUGCUGCAUGGUGGGGGUUGGAAAGUUUCGGCGGUUGGGGAUGGACUCGCGGGUUAUCAGCUUGUUGGUGGGGUAGUGGCUUACCAAGGUUUUGACGGGUAGCCGGCAUGAGAGGGUGACCGGCCACAUUGGGACUGAGAUACGGCCCAGACUCCUACGGGAGGCAGCAGUGGGGAAUAUUGCACAAUGGGCGGAAGCCUGAUGCAGCAACGCCGCGUGCGGGAUGACGGCCUUCGGGUUGUAAACCGCUUUCGCCUGUGACGAAGCGUGAGUGACGGUAAUGGGUAAAGAAGCACCGGCUAACUACGUG